CCAAAACAGCAAAAUGAUUCCUGAGCAAGGUGUAUUCCUCCUGGGAGACUCUGAGCAAGUUAAGAUGACUAAGCUUGAUACCAUCUCUUGCUGUCCACCUAGUAUUAUGUGGAAUGCUGUGCCACCAGUGAGCUGAUCUUGUAGUACAGCUGUCAUGGCAGGAUACGGUAGAGGCCAGUUUUCAGAGGAGUGGGGCACAGAAAUAUACAGAAUAGUUCCAGGCACUGCGAAUAAUGGUUUAAUUGCUGGGUCUCUGUGUUUGUGCUUCAUCCACUACAAAGAAGAAAAUAAGAGGGAAUAUAAAUAUAGGAAUGGACAUGCUGGUUGUAGAUGGAGCUUCCUAGUAUGUUUGAAUGACUGCCAGCAACCUCUCUGUUACUUACAGCACACAUAUUUGUCUCCUGUUUGUGUUGCAUAUUUUCUCAACAAAUGA
rnacentral:lncRNA from 1 species